CCUGUUUUUCCCUGGCUCAGUUCUCAACUGUCUCCCCUGGGCUAACUGGACAUUGUUUUCCUUGGAGUGACUAAGUGGGUCAUCAUCUGUUUCCACAGACUCAGCGGGGUCACUCCUUACAGGCCAUCUCAUCAUCCACUGUUUACCGUGGAGUGAUUUGUUUGCAGCCCGUUUUCACGCAGCGGAGGGGAUUUCCGUCUUUCCCUCAUCUGAUCCUGUCCCUGAACGGACUCGGUCAUCCACUGUGAGCCCUGGACUGACUCUGUUAUCCACUGCUCUUCCUGGGCGGAGGCUGAUGACGCUUCACCCUACUGGUUCUGGUUCUUAAAAGCGGGCUUCCGGGAACUUAAAACAAGGUGGUUCUAUAUUCACGUGGAUGAAAACACAGAGCGGUACCUGAGUUUCCACUCAGAGGAGUUAUCCCAGUUUGCAUCCCAACCAAGAACAUACAGAGGUCUCUCCAAAGCCUGUGCGUUGUCCCCAAUCUUAAUUUUUUCCCGGUGUGACAGGGAUUUACGGGGACGUAAGACCGUGGGCCUCGACGCAAAGGACAAAGUUAGUGUCUUUAAUCUGCAUUCGGGGAAUUCUCCAUCCCGCACCGGCUGAGUCCAGAGAAACUGGAAAACGGAAAAAGGUAAGAAGUGUCUGUUGGACCUCAAAUUCUCCGUACGCCCCACCUGAUAGGCUGGGUUCCUAGAAGCUCAGUUCAAAGAGAGGGCUCUUGCUGGGAGGUUCAGCGUUGGGCUUUGAGUAGCAGAGGACACCCGGGGAGCCGCGGAGAGACAGGUUUGUGAAACCUACUGUCACGCUGCUUGGCCUGCCAAAGUGGCUUGGGUAUCCAGCAGCGUGGUUGUUGGUGUGUGGGCGUGUUCGUGAAGGGGGUGGAGGGCAGCCAGACCCUCCCGUUCCCCAUGUGUCCUGGCGGAGCAUCCUCAGGGGCCAGUGGCUGGAGCCUUCGCCACCCAGGGGCCGUUCUCAAUGACUUGUUGAAACUCGGUGAGCCCACGUGAGAGGUGUGCCUUGGCGUGAUGGCGCAGUGGGAUGCUGUUGCCUUGGUAACCCCGGUGACGUGUGGUCCUCUGAGCCGGCCUAGCGCAGAUAGGUGAAGCCCUGAAGACCCUAAACAUGAUGG
rnacentral:lncRNA from 9 species